GUGCACUGUGGAGUGAGCAUGGCCCUCCCAGCAGGGGACACUGGGCGCCCAGCAGGGCUGCCUGAGGAAGAGGAGGAGCCUGUCCAGAGGCAGCACCCCCAGGGCAUCUGAUGCCAGAGGCAGAAGCCAGGCUGGAGGAUCACACAUGAGAAAGAAUUUCACCACACUUGGUUGAGUGUGCAACCGGGUUAUUUUAUCAGAAGACAGUGCUGGAAUUGAUCCUAAAGAAAAAGAAUAAAAGAUGUGUACACACUUAGAGCACAUAUUUGUUGCAGCUUUGUUUAUGAUACUGAAAAGUUUGAAAUGGUCU
rnacentral:lncRNA from 1 species